CCAGCAGGCCUGGAUUGUUAGAGGGAUGUCUGACUGCCAGUUUAGACCUGUACCCCAGGAUCAGGUUUAAACCAGCAAUCAGAUAUCCCCCAAGGGGUCCCAGAUUGGAGAGGGUGCAGGCUGGGCUGAGAGGACCCUCCUCCCGCCCCAUGCACGAAUUUCGUGCACUGUGCUUCUAGUCUUAUCAUAUUUGGUAAGAUGCUCAAAUGUGAUAAGCUUUACGUAGUCUUCCAUGAGGGGGAAGGCCACCCACAAUGUGGGUGUGUAAUCUUA